UACUGAAAUUUUAGUGGCCAACUUAAGG
rnacentral:sRNA from 1 species